UACGUAGGUUGCGAGCGUUAUUCGGAUUUACUGGGCGUAAAGCGCACCGAGGUGGCUUCUUAAGUUGGAUGUAAAAUCUCCCGGCUUAACUGGGAGGCGCCAUUCAAUACUGAGGAGCUUGAGGUCAGCAGGGGAAAGUGGAAUUCCCGGUGUAGUGGUGGAAUGCGUAGAGAUCGGGAGGAACACCAGUGGCGAAAGCGACUUUCUGGGCUGCACCUGACACUCUAGUGCGAAAGCGUGGGGAGCAAACAGG
rnacentral:rRNA from 1 species